rnacentral:snRNA from 1 species
GUAUUUACUUUGGUAGCACUUAUACUAAAAUUGGAACGAUACAGAGAUAAGCAUGGCCUCUAUACAAGGAUGACAUGUAAAUUUAUGAAGCCUUCUAUGUUAAA